rnacentral:rRNA from 1 species
GGGGCCCGCACAAGCGGUGGAGCAUGUGGUUUAAUUCGACGCAACGCGAAGAACCUUACCAGGGCUUGACAUCCCCUGACCGCGUAUGAAAGUACGUUUUCACCCUCGGGUGACAGGGAGACAGGUGGUGCAUGGUUGUCGUCAGCUCGUGUCGUGAGAUGUUGGGUUAAGUCCCGCAACGAGCGCAACCCCUACGUUUAGUUGCUAACGCGUGAAGGCGAGCACUCUAGACGAACUGCCGUUGACAAAACGGAGGAAGUGGGAUGACGUCAAAUCAUCAUGCCCCUUAUGUUCUGGGCUACACACGUGCUACAAUGGCCGGUACAGACGGACGCAAAGCCGCGAGGUGGAGCAAAUCCUAAAAAGCCGGUCUCAGUUCGGAUUGCAGGCUGCAAUUCGCCUGCAUGAAGUCGGAAUCGCUAGUAAUCGCAGGUCAGCAUACUGCGGUGAAUACGUUCCCGGGCCUU